ACGGGAGGCAGCAGUGAGGAAUAUUGGUCAAUGGGCGGAAGCCUGAACCAGCCAAGUCGCGUGAAGGAAGAAGGUAUUAUAUAUUGUAAACUUCUUUAGACGCAGAGAAAUAAGUUCCACGUGUGGAGUGAUGCUAGUAUGCGUAGAAUAAGGAUCGGCUAACUCCGUGCCAGCAGCCGCGGUAAUACGGAGGAUCCGAGCGUUAUCCGGAUUUAUUGGGUUUAAAGGGUGCGCAGGCGGUCUUUUAAGUCAGUGGUUAAAUAGUGAGGCUCAACCUCAUUCCGCCAUUGAUACUGGGAGACUUGAUUGCGGUCGAGGUUGGCGGAAUUCGCCGUGUAGCGGUGAAAUGCAUAGAUAUGGCGAAGAACUCCGAUUGCGUAGGCAGCUGACCAGGCCGUAAAUGACGCUCAUGCACGAAAGUGCGGGGAUCGAACAGGAUUAGAUACCCUGGUA
rnacentral:rRNA from 1 species